AUUAUGGUCAUCAUCCAUGUCUUGAUACUUUUCACUUUUCAAAAGUUGAUAAUCUUGUAGUAGAAGAUUUAGCAAAUUACUUGUCAGAGCUACAUACAACAAUGAAGAUACAAUUUAGAGAAGUUUAAGAACAACAUAAGACCAACGUGGAUGCCUAUUGCAAGGAGCAACCACAAUAUAAUAUAAGUAACAAAGUAUGGUUACUUCGUCGUUACUUCAAAACUAUAUGUCCUUGUGAUAAAUUAGAUUAUCAUAGGUAGGAACCUUUUCCUAUUUGUGAUCAAAUCAAUCAUGUUGCCUAUCGAUUACAUCUAUCGAUGUCGUAAUACAUGAAGUCUUACUUGAGAAUGCUUCAAGCACUUGGUUGUAGAAGGUAGAAUGGAAAUCACAAUAAUAAAAUCUUAACACUAAUAGAAUAUUAACUAAAUUCUAAUUAGAGCAUAAUAAUAUUAAGUAAGCUUUAAUCAAAUUCAAAAAAACGUCAAAGAAAUUUCAAAAAAAUAAUAAGAAAUCUUAAAAAAAUAUUAGAAUGAUGACAAGUAUAUCUCAAAUACAUUUCAAUUCAAUCUUAAUUUAAUUCUAGUUAAAAUCUUAUUUGACUUAAUUUAAAUUUUAUGCCAAAACUAAUUAAAUCUUAAAUCCUAAACAAAUCCUAAUAAAAUCCUAAAUCCUAAAUCAAAUCCUAAAUCCUAAACCAAAUCCUAAAUCCUAAACCAAACCCUAAAAAAAUCCUAAAUAAAAUUCUAUCCAAACCCUAAACCAAACCCUAACCAAAUUCUAAAUCCUAAAUCCUAAAUCAAAUCCUAACCAAAUCCUAAACAAACCCUUGUAAUUUUUAUAAUAGAAUUAAACCUCAAUAACUAAUAUAUGAACCAUUGAUCUUAACUCAAAUUUUGCACACUUCUUAAAAACUAAGUUGAAAAUAAGCACAAUUUUUUUUGAAAAGGAUCGAAAUUACCAAAUUGACGAUAAUCUCAAAAACGUGCUUGGAUAUUGGUCGGCUUUCUUCUCUAACUUUG
rnacentral:lncRNA from 1 species